rnacentral:rRNA from 1 species
AUUGAACGCUGGCGGCAGGCCUAACACAUGCAAGUCGAGCGGAUGAAGGGAGCUUGCUCCUGGAUUCAGCGGCGGACGGGUGAGUAAUGCCUAGGAAUCUGCCUGGUAGUGGGGGAUAACGUCCGGAAACGGGCGCUAAUACCGCAUACGUCCUGAGGGAGAAAGUGGGGGAUCUUCGGACCUCACGCUAUCAGAUGAGCCUAGGUCGGAUUAGCUAGUUGGUGGGGUAAAGGCCUACCAAGGCGACGAUCCGUAACUGGUCUGAGAGGAUGAUCAGUCACACUGGAACUGAGACACGGUCCAGACUCCUACAGGAGGCAGCAGUGGGGAAUAUUGGACAAUGGGCGAAAGCCUGAUCCAGCCAUGCCGCGUGUGUGAAGAAGGUCUUCGGAUUGUAAAGCACUUUAAGUUGGGAGGAAGGGAAGUAAGUUAAUACCUUGCUGUUUUGACGUUACCAACAGAAUAAGCACCGGCUAACUUCGUG